rnacentral:rRNA from 1 species
GAUGAACGCUGGCGGCGUGCCUAAUACAUGCAAGUCGAGCGAACAGACGAGGAGCUUGCUCCUCUGACGUUAGCGGCGGACGGGUGAGUAACACGUGGAUAACCUACCUAUAAGACUGGGAUAACUUCGGGAAACCGGAGCUAAUACCGGAUAAUAUAUUGAACCGCAUGGUUCAAUAGUGUAAGACGGUUUUGCUGUCACUUAUAGCUGGAUCCGCGCCGCAUUAGCUAGUUGGUAAGGUAACGGCUUACCAAGGCAACGAUGCGUAGCCGACCUGAGAGGGUGAUCGGCCACACUGGAACUGAGACACGGUCCAGACUCCUACGGGAGGCAGCAGUAGGGAAUCUUGCACAAUGGGCGAAAGCCUGACGGAGCAACGCCGCGUGAGUGAUGAAGGUCUUCGGAUCGUAAAACUCUGUUAUUAGGGAAGAACAAAUGUGUAAGUAACUAUGCACGUCUUGACGGUACCUAAUGAGAAAGCCACGGCUAACUACGUG